GAUGAACGCUAGCGGCAGGCUUAAUACAUGCAAGUCGAGGGGCAGCAUGACUGUAGCAAUACAGUUGAUGGCGACCGGCAAACGGGUGCGGAACACGUACAGAACCUUCCUUCGAGCGGGGAAUAGCCCAGAGAAAUUUGGAUUAAUACCCCAUAGUACAACGGAGUGGCAUCACUUUGUUGUUAAAGAUUUAUCACUUGAAGAUGGCUGUGCGGCUGAUUAGGUAGUUGGCGGGGUAACGGCCCACCAAGCCUGCGAUCAGUAACUGGUGUGAGAGCACGACCAGUCACACGGGCACUGAGACACGGGCCCGACUCCUACGGGAGGCAGCAGUAAGGAAUAUUGGUCAAUGGACGAAAGUCUGAACCAGCCAUGCCGCGUGGAGGAUGAAGGUCCUCUGGAUUGGUAAACUUCUUUUAUAUGGGACGAAAAAGGGUUUUCUAACUCGUCUGACGGUACCAUAUGAAUAAGCACGGCUAACUCCGUGCCAGCAGCCGC
rnacentral:rRNA from 1 species